UGCUCUAACCUUUAACUUCUCAGCUUUUGGAUGAGAAGAAUGACCUUCCUGAAGUCUAACUAAACUGUUUCUAUUUCUUUUUGUACUUUAAAGCUUUAGUGCAUUGAUUAGUCUUGAAAGAAAAAAAAAUAAAAGUCACCUUGUUGUCUCCUACCCAGUAUCUUGUACUCUUUGGGAGUCUGGAAAUGAAUUGGAUAUCAUCUCAGACACUGAAGGGGGAAAAAUACCAACGUUCGUUCUGGACCUAGUCUUUCCUUUCUGUCAUCCUUUUCAGGUCAAGAUAUGUAUAAUGGUUAUCACAAAACUUUGUUUGAGAGUCGGCUCCUGCUUCCUGAUGGCUUCCACCUCCUUGCUGGGCUGGCCAGAGGCAAAAUGUCAAGAGAAUGGUUUUUGGACAAAGAGAUGAAAGGGAGAAAGUGUGGAAACCGUCUGAUGAGUGGUCUUUGGUGUUGCUCCCUGAAAGUCAAGAAGACCUGUGAUAGCCAGCUGGAGCAAUUAGUUCAGCCUCCUUGAAAGUAUGAUUCAGAAAUACUUGAAGCAAAGCAAAUGACACAAAUUUUAAGUCCUAGUGGAAGACAUAAAUGCAAGUCAUUUGGAAUGGUUGGGCACAAACAGUGUGCUCUUCUGAGAACCUCCCUUACAUUCAGAAAUGUCAUUUGCAUCUACUGUAGCAUUUGGUUUGCUUCUUAGGGUUUUGUCUUUUUUUUGCUCUUAACUGUGUACAUAUAUGGGGUUCUUAACUUUAUGAAAAUGCAUGCUAGGUGGACAUUCUCAUUUGUUUCUUGUGAAUGCAUUUAAAAUAUAAUGAAUCUGGGAGGUAGUAUGGAAUUGUAGAACAAGCACUGACUCUAUAUGAUGUGAGACCUUGGGUAAGCCACAAAAACUUGUUGUGCUUCAGUUUCCUUCUCUGUAAUAAGAGUGGGCUUAAUUUCUUAACCUGAAGUCCAUGAAAUUGCUUAAAAAUAUAUUUUUGUGACUGGCCCAUCUACCCAUCUAUCAGCUUAUAUGAAAUACUAGCUUCCUUGUUCUUGUAAGGGAUGUAUACCGAACCCUUUCCAAAUAAAUUCAUGUUUAUAUAAUGACUGCGCUU
ensembl:lncRNA